AGAAGCAAUGAAGAAGUCCUUUCUUACAAUCUGGUCUGUUCAACUCAUAGGCAAGUUGUACAAGGCGGAGAGAAAUCUGUAUGGCUCUGCAGCUCUGGAUACAAUGCUGUCAUUCAACUCCUGAAAUACAUAUAUUUCACCUAAUCCCACACUCUUCUGCACCCGAUCUAUGCAGGUAAAGUAAAAAGGAGCCCACCUCCUGUUUUCAGAUCUCUCCUAGGAAAGUAGUCCAUGGUCCUCCACUGACAGUGAUUAUCGUACAUAGAAAGUAAAAACCACUUCCAAGACAAUAAGGAGCAUCCUGGAGAAGCCCCUCACGCCCUGACUUAGAGGGUUCUACUUGGUGCUUGUGUUGACCUCCCACACCUGCCCUAAAAUGAAAGCUAUUUUAGGCUAUAUGGUUUAAGACUAACCAACUUCAAAAGACAGGGAACAUAUUCAAACAACGUGGAGCCCAUGAGAGAUAGGGCAAUAAAGACAAACUGAAUUAAGGAACAAAGGUAAUAUUUCUCUAGAAGAAGGUAGGUGAAAUUGAUGACAAGAGAGAUGUCCUUUAAAAACAAUUAUAAAUCAUUCUGAUAUACAGUCCAACAGAGAAAAGCUUUUCAAAGAAUGUCCAAUAUCCUUUCUUCCCCACUCCACCUUCCAGCACCUCUAUAUCACCCUCAUCAUGUACUCAACAUUUAGUCCUGGUGAAGACCAAUCCCUAGAUUAGCAGGAUCAAGAGUACCUGCAGAGAACUUUCCAUCCUGGGAACACCACCUUUAAAUUAUUUAGGCUUCUUUACCGCCCGUCCCUAUAGAGUAAAAGCAUGAAAUUUUGCCAGCGCUUUCACAAUAUACACCAGUCGGCACCACAGCAACCAAUCCUCUGCCCACCAAAAGAUGAACACAUACUUAGAAAACAGGAAAUUCAACAAAAAUUAAAGUUUGAAAUAAACAGUGUAGAAUAUCUACAAAUAUCAAACCAAACUCCUAUUCCUAUAAGCAGAAAUCUCCAAAGUAUAUAUUCCCAAUUCAGGCCCCCUUUUUGAUCUACCGUUACCAAAGCAUAAAAUCAUCAUAAGAAACAGAGGGAAACCAUUUCCAACGCUAGCUCACAAAACCAAAUUAGACCCUUCCAUAAAAUACAGGAGAGAAAAAAGAAACACUUUCAGUUUAUCUAGUUUAUGACAAAUAGUUCAAGGACUGCCCCUUUAUUAGGCUGAAUCAAACCCCACUACUACCUUUAACCCAAAACUAUUUCUAGUUCAAGAGCCAAAAGACCUAAGCAAAUACUUUCUUUUCACAUUAUUUUCAACAUGAAGAAAUCUGACCCCCUUCCUACUACAUCACGGCUUCUGUGAAACAAGCUAAGAGGCCCCUUUGGCCAACUUUUUUUUUUUUUGAGACUAACCUCCAACCAAUUCCAGAAUCGAAGACAAACCUCAAACAAAUUUAACCCUUGAAAUCCACCCCUUAAGCAGUACAGCAUAACCUACGCUUCACCGCAGCAAUGUCGUACAGACACUUGAAGAUUUCUUAAUCACUGAAGUGUAAGCCUCAGCCCUCACAAAUCAUCGCCACAGAGAUUACUCUUGGCAUCAACACAGGGUGCUGGGACUGCAACUCACUCAAGAACCCUUCACUCACCACCAUCAUCCUCGACAUUAAAAAUUCACCGUCUCAAAAGAAAAAAAGCCUGUCACCGUCUCCACAAGGGCACCUGCCUUCUCAACGCCUCUACCGUGAACGACGAGAGCCAAGCCUGAAAGGCGAAAAGAUCCUCCAGCCUAAAGUUUUCCUCCCCACCAAACUCUGCAGCCACAGCACCAUGGACUGUCCUUGUCACACACACAGGCUCUAUUGUCAAACCCUCCGUCUCCCUCUAACAUCGUCAACCGAGGCAGUGUCUAGUCCAUGGGAGGGACUGCUUCAAAAACAAAAACACAGAAAACACCCAUAGCUGGGUAGGGUAGUAAGGACUAGGGACCCUGGGGUCCGGUUUCUUCCAAGCGACCAGAGAACAGCUCGGGUUCUGCCGCCGACCAUUAA
ensembl:lncRNA